rnacentral:lncRNA from 1 species
AGGGUUCGACCUUUUCAGGUCAGAUUCGAACCAAAACCUUGUUGGUUUAGGUACGAGAGAUGUUAGGGGAGUGCUUGGUAUUGAUUUGGGGUGAUUUGGUGUGAGUUGAAUCUGGGCUCGAAUCUUCAAAUGAAAAUUCAAGAAGGUUCUGUUUGAUUCGAGGUUAGGGGUUAGUGGAUUUGGCUUUAGGGUGUGAUGGGGAUUCUGAGGUGUUAACGGGGUGACCUCGGCGUCGUUGCCGCCGGGUUUCUGGUGCAAAUUGCCUAGAGGCAGCUAGGGUUGUGGGGUUCUGGUCUCUGAGGGUUUGAGAUGGGGAAGAAGAAUGAGGAGGGUAG